GAGAGUGAAGGAUAAACCAUGAAAUAUUGAUUGAAUUCCAUCUCCAGUUUGUUAGUCAUCACAGUGUUAUGUACCAAUAACUGCAUAUUUGGGAAAGAAUGCAUCAGUUUUCUUCCCGUUUCCAACUACUUUGCUUUGUUGUGCACUACUGAACACACCCCUGGCUCCCAGGCUGUUUUCUGAAGAAGGAUAAGUUAAGUGUAAGGAGGCACAUUGAGAUGCUAACGUUGCUAUCUGGCUGUGUUUCUCUCUGCUGAUUCCAGAGGAACAGGAAACCAAUGACUCAGAUUAGUGACAGACUGCAAUAUUUUGACGGGAAGAGAUCAGGCGAGAGCGAAGUCAGCACUUUUCCAAGAUCCAGGAAAGGAUGGAGCCAUAAAGACGGUAGAGGAGGAAGAGGGAUUGCUACGAUGCCAAGAUCGAGGCAGAAAUGAAGAGUCCAGGGACAGGUGACAGCCACAGGGCUCUGUAGGCAGGAGUGGAGGACCUGACCCUAGGCAGGAGGACUGGGUACCCUCUACCCAGCGAGUAACAGCUGUCCCAGUUUGCCCGAGGCAACGUGUUCAGUGAUCAGGACACUCCACAGCAGCUCCAGGAGCAGGACACAUUCAGGCAGAGGUGUAACAUGUUCACUAUACACUGGAUACUGUAAAAUAUGACUUGGUGUUGUAUUGAGCCAUCUGAAUGUAAGUUGGACUCUCUCCUUUAUGCAGAGCCAGAAGGAUCCUUCCCCUCCUAACCCAGACUUGCAGAAGAGACUGGACAAGCAGCUCCUUACUCCCAGACCUCUCUCUGCUGUCAGCCAGCUCUCCUCUAGGCCCAGGCACUUGACUGUGUCGAACAUCCACAGGCCUAGGCGAUAUAGCUUUAUUCUGACUCCGCUUUCAUCCCUGGAACUAUACACUCACUGUCGGUGUACGGUUGUGAACUUAACAUGCAUAUUUUAUAGUGGCGACUGUGGCCUGUUUUGAGGUGUUGGAUCAUGUUCCAUACUGUUGUGCUGUGCCCAGGUGUAGAGGGCACCCCAAUGGGGACAUGUUUGAGAUGGCACACCACCCAACUCUGGAGUAGCAGCUGUGGCUGUUCACGUCAACAUACCAGCUCAAAUACAGAGGUAUGACAAUGACAGUCUUUAUGCUAUUAAAAACAACAAACUAUGUUUUAAGUGAGAAGUAGGCAUCAGCCUGAAGGAAAUUCACAUGAGCAUCAUGCCUACUACACCGAUGCUCGACCAAGGUUUUACA